rnacentral:rRNA from 1 species
UACGAAGGGUGCUAGCGUUGUUCGGAAUUACUGGGCGUAAAGCGCGCGUAGGCGGCUAUUCAAGUCAGAGGUGAAAUCCUUGGGCUCAACCCAAGAAUUGCCUUUGAAACUGUAUAGCUAGAGUGUCGGAGGGGAUAGCGGAAUUCCUAAUGUAGAGGUGAAAUUCGUAGAUAUUAGGAGGAACACCGGUGGCGAAGGCGGCUAUCUGGACGACAACUGACGCUGAGGCGCGAAAGCACGGGGAUCAAACAGG